GUAGGGGUGCCUGAGGAGAAAGGGGUGCUGGUUCUUCCUUAUAUCCCCUGCCUGCCUCAGCUGGGCUCUGACCCAGCCAGCAGACUGGAGUCCUCUUCUGCAUGGUAAGGAAACUGAGGCUUAGAGGAGUUAUGAAAUUGCCCAAGGUUUCACAGCUGAAAUGUAUAAGGACCUGGACUUGCAAAUUUGGCACAAAGUUCUUCUAAUAAGAGGCCAUAAAAUAACCAAAUGAUUUUUUAUGUGCCUAUAGAACCAAAAGAACUAUUUCAGAAUGUCAGCUGAAAAGCACGAUAUUCCAGAUAGCUUAGAAACCUUGGCAUAGUGCCUUCCUGGAAAUCCUGGAUUGCAUCUAAAACCAUGUGGCAGAGGGAGAAACAACAGACAGGACAUCCUGAGAAGACUCAGGCUGGGACGAAAGCUCUGCUCUCCAGGGACAAAGCAGCAGGGGACCAGCCAUGCUCAGAAAUACUCCACUGGCCAGUGCACAUUUUUUUGAGCAAUUUCACUUGCUUCCUCACCACCUGUCCCCCUAACACUUCUAUUAAAGUGGCAAAUAAAUCUGAUACCCAA
rnacentral:lncRNA from 1 species